rnacentral:sRNA from 1 species
CCAGACACCCCCCAAAAUAGACUACCUGCUUCCAGGUCCUGGGCCUGCUCACUCUCCCCAGCCCUCCAAGAGGGCGGGGCCUCUGACACCCCCAAAACCUCCCAGAAGGAGCGACUCCAUUAAGUUCCAGCACAGGCUGGAGACUAGCUCCGAGUCAGAAGCCACUCUGGUGGGCAGCUCCCCAUCCACUAGUCCCCCGAGCGCCCUGCCCCCUGACGUGGACCCCGGGGAGCCCAUGCACGCAUCACCCCCUCGCAAGGCCAGGGUCCGCAUUGCUUCCAGCUACUACCCUGAAGGAGAUGGGGACUCCUCCCACCUGCCGGCCAAGAAAUCCUGUGAUGAGGACCUCACCUCCCAGAAGGUGGAUGAGCUGGGGCAGAAGCGUCGCCGGCCAAAAUCUGCUCCCAGUUUUCGGCCGAAGCUUGCUCCAGUAGUGAUUCCUGCUCAGUUCCUGGAGGAACAGAAGUGUGUCCCGGCCAGUGGAGAACUCUCCCCAGAGCUCCAGGAGUGGGCACCUUACUCGCCUGGGCAUUCCAGCCGGCACAGCAACCCCCCGCUAUACCCUAGCAGGCCGUCUGUGGGCACUGUUCCCCGGAGUUUGACCCCCAGCACCACUGUGAGCUCCAUCCUGCGGAACCCCAUCUACACUGUGCGCAGUCACAGGGUCGGCCCCUGCAGCUCUCCACCUGCGGCCCGAGAUGCUGGCCCCCAGGGUUUGCAUCCCAGUGUCCAGCACCAGGGACGCCUGAGCCUGGACCUGAGCCACAGGACCUGCAGCGACUACUCCGAGAUGAGAGCCACCCAUGGGUCCAACUCACUGCCCUCCAGCGCCCGCCUGGGUUCUUCGAGUAACUUGCAGUUCAAGGCGGAACGCAUUAAAAUCCCAUCAACACCAAGAUAUCCGCGGAGUGUCGUGGGCUCCGAGAGAGGUUCAGUGUCACAUUCUGAAUGCAGCACUCCUCCACAGUCACCCCUGAACAUCGACACCCUGUCCUCUUGUAGCCAGUCCCAGACCUCAGCCUCCACAUUGCCCAGAAUCGCUGUCAACCCCGCGUCCCUCGGGGAGCGGAGAAAGGACAGGCCUUAUGUGGAGGAGCCACGCCACGUGAAGGUGCAGAAGGGCUCAGAGCCGCUGGGCAUCUCCAUCGUGAGUGGAGAGAAGGGCGGCAUCUACGUCUCCAAGGUGACCGUGGGGAGCAUCGCUCACCAGGCUGGCCUCGAGUAUGGGGAUCAGUUACUGGAGUUCAACGGCAUAAACCUGCGGAGCGCCACGGAGCAGCAGGCGCGGCUCAUCAUCGGGCAGCAGUGUGAUACCAUCACCAUCCUGGCCCAGUACAACCCCCACGUGCACCAGCUCAGCAGCCACUCCCGGUCCAGCUCACACCUGGACCCUGCCGGUACCCACUCCACUCUCCAGGGCAGUGGCACCACCACCCCGGAGCAUCCAUCUGUCAUCGACCCACUGAUGGAGCAGGACGAGGGGCCUAGCACCCCCCCAGCCAAGCAGAGCAGCUCCAGGAUUGCGGGAGAUGCCAACAAGAAGACCCUGGAGCCACGCGUUGUCUUCAUCAAAAAGUCCCAGCUGGAGCUUGGGGUGCACUUGUGUGGUGGGAACCUGCAUGGGGUGUUUGUGGCCGAGGUGGAGGAUGACAGUCCUGCCAGGGGUCCUGACGGCCUCGUGCCAGGGGACCUCAUCCUGGAGCCUGGACGUGCGGAACAAGACAGUGGAGGAAGUCUAUGUGGAGAUGCUGAAGCCCAGGGAUGGCGUCCGCCUGAAGGUGCAGUACCGCCCUGAGGAGUUCACGAAGGCCAAGGGCCUGCCUGGUGACAGCUUCUACAUCAGGGCCCUGUACGACCGGCUGGCAGAUGUGGAGCAUGAGUUGAGCUUUAAGAAGGACGACAUCCUCUACGUGGAUGACACCUUGCCCCAGGGCACGUUCGGGUCCUGGAUGGCUUGGCAGCUGGACGAGAAUGCCCAGAAGAUCCAGCGCGGGCAGAUUCCCAGCAAAUAUGUGAUGGACCAAGAAUUCUCCAGGAGGCUCAGCAUGUCUGAAGUCAAAGAUGACAAUAGCGCCACAAAGACGCUGUCAGCAGCUGCACGCCGGUCCUUUUUUCGGAGGAAACACAAGCACAAACGCAGCGGGUCCAAGGACGGGAAAGACCUGCUCGCCUUGGAUGCCUUUUCCAGUGACUCCAUUCCACUCUUUGAAGAUUCGGUGAGCCUGGCCUAUCAGCGGGUCCAGAAGGUGGACUGCACCGCUCUGAGGCCUGUCCUGAUUCUGGGGCCUUUGCUGGACGUGGUGAAGGAGAUGCUGGUGAAUGAGGCUCCUGGCAAGUUCUGCAGAUGUCCCCUUGAGGUGAUGAAGGCCUCCCAGCAGGCCAUUGAGCGGGGUGUCAAAGAUUGCCUGUUUGUCGACUAUAAGCGGAGAAGCGGCCAUUUCGAUGUGACCACUGUGGCGUCAAUAAAGGAGAUCACAGAAAAGAACCGACACUGCCUCCUGGACAUUGCUCCGCACGCUAUUGAGCGGCUCCACCACAUGCACAUCUACCCCAUUGUCAUCUUCAUCCACUACAAGAGCGCCAAGCACAUCAAGGAGCAGAGAGACCCCAUCUACCUGAGGGACAAGGUGACUCAGAGGCAUUCCAAAGAGCAGUUUGAGGCGGCGCAGAAGCUUGAGCAGGAGUACAGCAGGUACUUCACAGGUAGGUGUGCGUGGGCCUGGAGUGGGGAGCAGGCAGCAGGGAAGGAAGCAGACCAAGGCUGUUUUCUUAGCCGUGGAGAAGCCCGUGCUUUCUACAUGCUCCCAAGUGCUGUCAUGAGCACGUUCCUGACAAGUCAGGUGUUCAGAUCGCAGUCCCUGGCCAACGUCAGGAUUCUUACAGGUUGAAUGUUAAGCUCACCGAUCUUGGCCUCAGGUCCUGCCUGGCUUGCCUGCUCAUUUUCACACGUGCAGUGGUGGGUCUGUCCCAUAGCACAGGUGCAGUUUAGUGCAGCCACAGUGUCCCCAGGCAGGGCGGGGACUGGAGCAGCCCCCAGUGUGCCAGCAGUGUGGGCAGCGGAGGCUAGGGGCCCAUCUGUCCCUAGCACCCUCCAGGGCAGUCCCGUUUUGCAGCGGGAUUUGGCAAACCCCCCUCCAAAAAAAAAAAAGCAAAAAACAAAA